GUUUCCUGUAAGCGAGACCAAUUAGAGCGGGAAUGGAGGAAGCCAGCAGCCAAUGAGCAGCGCCUCCAGGGGCGGGAGCAGAGAGACAAGGAAAUGCUGUCACCGCCGUUAACAAGCACGUGGAGGUUUGUUAAAGGUAGUGGGAGGCAUAAUUCUUAGUCAAUGAGAGACAGCAGUAGCCAAUCCAGAAUACCAGGGACAGGUGCGGUGCCGGCAAACUGACUUCAGGCUGUGGAUGUACGGCUGAGAGAGAAGUAGGAAACCCUGACAGUGCUCAUGCUGGCUUUGAUCCGGCUGGAGCAGCCUGUGGUGGAAAUGGCUCUAUAUAGCCUUGGUGUCUACCAGCAUCUGGAGUGGGAGCCACAAGAGCCAUGUAGACAGGCACCUAGCACUGUGCCAGCAACGUGGGGCUGACUGGCUCUGGGGAAGAGCUGUUGGCAGUGCUGGCGACAAGGAUAGAGUGUGAGGCCUGGUGACAGGAUGGCAGCGCAGAAGCCUCAGCGCUCAGGAGCUGCGGUCCUGGCUGCUCUGAGGGAAGACAUCUCAGUCCUGAGCACCCACUGACUGGACCACAGUGACCCACCCUGUGUCUGCUCAGCAAGGUGAGCCCUGUGGACCACUGGGCAUGCCCAGGACAACUUUAAGGCACCUUCUAUAGAGUGGUCUUCUAUGGUGUGGCACUUUCUGUAGUGUGCAUUAGAGCACGUAAUAGUGACAGCAACCUUCAUAGCAAACUUAGGGUGCCAUCGAGGCAGGUUUCAGUAGGCCAGGCAUGUUGGAGCAGGCCUGUAAUCUCAGCAUUUAGGAGAUAGGAGAAGUGCCAUGAGUUAAGGUGAACCUAGGCUACAGGGCAAAAUGCUUUAAAAGAAGCUGGGUGUGGUGAUUCAUACUGUAAUCCCAACAGCUGGAAGUCUGAGGCAGGACUGCUGCCAGGGCAGCCCGGAGCACUUAGCUAAAUCUUAUUAUUGCCCCCUCUCCAAAGCAAAGAGGGGCAGGCCAAGAGGGGAGGCAAGCUUGGGGGCUUAGUUUACCGUGCCGUAGAGAGGCUGAGCCAGAAGGACCUCAAGUCCUAAGCCAAACUGGCGCAUCACCACUAGCCACUUGCCCAAGCCUCAGCAAAGUGGAUGUCACGAGGUAACCCCCAAGGCCUUACUGGGACUAACCUACCGGAAAAUGCUAGCACGGCACCGGGCGCACUUCACUGCUUGGGGGUUCUGUUUCGGGGUUGGGUAGUGUGGACAGUGUAGAAGCUCCCAAACGAGCAAGGGUGCCAGACGGGGCAUGGGGGAACUGACCUGUGUGUGUGCGAGCAUGCCGCUGGAGUUCGUCACUCCGUGUGAACCUCUUUCCACAGAAGAACCAGUUGCAGACAAAGGGUCGCUCGCCAGUGUGCAGGCGGACAUGGGCCCGAAGCAAGGACGUCUUCCGGAAAGUCUUUCCACAGUCCGGGAUGUGACACACAUGCUUCUUCUUGCCCUGCUCCCCAGACCUGAGGGGUUGGGUUUAGAGUAGGGGAAUGAAGGGGAAGAGGGAAGGGAGAGAAGCCAUGGGAGGUCAGGUCAAGACCUGUCCCACUGAGUGAACUGUGGAGCGGGUGUGGGUUUGGCUUGGGUCGAGCAUAUUACCUCUUCUCCCCGUCCUUGCAGUUGGGACAUGUGCAGGCCAUGCGCCGCCGUUUCUCCCCAGGCUGGGCCUCUCCGGCCAGGGCCUGCUCCAUCUGCAGCUGGAUCUGGGUGGGGCUCAGCCCACUGAUGGUCAGGUUGUUUCCAGAAACAUUCUGCACUGUCAGCUGUUGCUGUCCUGUGGGAAAAAGAAGGGCAUGUUCAGGAAAGGAAGCCCAGGCUAGCCCUUCUCUCUCUCUCUCUCUCUCUCUCUCUCUCUCUCUCUCUCUCCUCUCCUCCUCCUCUUCUUCUUCCUCUCUCUCUCUCUCUCUCUCUCUCUCUCUGAAGAAUCAUGGGGCCUAAUACACUGGAGGGCAGUGAGGGCCAGAGGCUUCCCUGAGAUUCUACUCCGCUAGAGGCAAACUUGCCUAAGAAGUUUUGUUCAUGGGCUUUGGAGAAAUCACUCUAGGCUUCUUUGUCCUCUCUCUCUGUGUCUCCUAAAAGUGGACAAACCAAAUACAUAAACUGCUAGAAGUUCACUAGGGAUGGGGAAGGCCAUGAUCUCUUGCUACCCGGGAAGCUGAGCGGCUCCCAGGUGCAGAAUGCAGCCUGCUUUGCCAGGCGGCUUCAGUCGCCCUCUCUCCUCUUAACUCUAAGAUUUACUUAUAUAUUUAUGCAUAUGGAUGUUUUGUCUGUAUGUAUGUCUACAUACCAGAAAAGGGCAUUAGAUCCUGUGGGACUAGCUAGAGACUGUUGGGAGCCACCAUGGGUGCUGGGAAUUAAACACAGCUAAGCACUGAGCCAUCAUCUCCCAGGCCCCUCCCUCUUCUUCUCAGGGCUGCACUCACAGCACAGAUCAUCAGCUCUUGUGCAGUACAAGCUGUCCUGCUGCCUGGGACAGCUUUCCCUGCCUCCCACGCUCAACAGCAACCGCCCUCCUUCAGCUGUCCUGAGUGGACCGUACUGGCACAGGCCUUUAAUCACAGCGCUCAGGAGGCAGAUGCUGUUCUGAUCUAUAGUGAGUUCCAGACAGCCAGGACUACAGAGAAACCUUGUCUCAAAACACACAUCCCUUGCCCCCGAAAAGCCUGACUUCCUUUACAAGGCAUGGUCCUUAGUCACCUGAGCUGGGCAAGUAACCAGCCAAAUAAACUGAGUUUGUAUAUUAUUGAACACAUCUGUUUUCUCCAUCAUAUUCAGCAUCUGCAGUUAUCAUGUGGUCAUGUGACUUGCUAUCUCACAGUAAGGACCAACUGUGAAGACAAUACACACAGAUGUGCCCUGAGGCAGGAGGGGACCAGGCAAACACCAGGCAUCAUCUCGGAUGGCCAGCAUCCUCAUGGCUGACACUGGAGAUCCCAGGGGCCUGGCUGGGAUUCCCAUAGGCUGAGUGCAAAGCCCGGCUGCAGGGCCCUCCUGGCUUCAGGACUCUCUCUCACCGCCAGUGUUGGUGAUGGUGACAGGCACACCCUGGACUUGGACACCAUUGAUGUUGAUGGUCUGCAUGGCCUGAGCAGCUGCUGCCAGCUGUGCAGCGUUCAGGCUGAUGAUGCUCCCAGCAGGUGCAAUCUUUGGCAGGGGUCGCUCUUUUCGGAGAAUUGCAGCCGAAUGCUUUUUGCUGGAGCCACUCAGAUGGGGAGCUCGGAGCGCCGGGCUGCUACAGGAGACGGUUGACGUGGUUGCAGCUGUUGCUGGGGGGCUGUCCUGGACAAGGACCGUCUGUACCUCACCAGAAGGUGUACGGAUAUAAACCUGAGGGGCCAGAGAAAAGAGUUGGCAGCAUGACCUUGUCCAAGGGAGGGCUGGGACACCUCUGUCAUCUCAUCAAGCCCAAGAACAUAUUUAUGCACUACUGAUGCUUGACAAGGCCAAUGAUGCCCUACACUAAACUGGCAUGAGUGGUCACUGACCUGUAACCCAACCUUUACUCUGCUUAGCAUGGAAAAAUAUUAACUGCUAAAUCUCAAAAUCGGAAGACUAGUAAAAAAGCACAACACCAGCAUGGGCUACGGUCACAUGGAGGCCAGCUUAACCACAAAGCAAAAUUAUCUUUUAAAAGGAGGGGGCUGCAGAGGUGGACCAGUGGCUAAGAGUAAUGGCUGCUCUUCCAGAGGUUCCACAUUUCCCAGCACCAACAAUGGCGGCUCACAACCAUCUGUAAUGGGAUCCACUGCUCUCUUCUGGUGUGUCUGAAGACAGCUACAGUGUACUCUCAUAUAUAAAAAUAAAUCUUAAAAAAAAAGAAGGGGUUAGGGAUUUAGCUCAGUGGUAGAGAGGCCCUGGGUUCGGUCCCCAGCUCCGGAAAAAAAAAAAAAAGAAAGAAAAACAAGUUCAUAAUUAGAUAUAGAGGAUCAUUGCUUCUCUCCUUUGUCAGGCUCUGCCACUGUAACUGUCACCAACAAUAGGACAAACAGAACUCUUGAACUGCUUUGGCACAGCGCACACCCUUCUGUGAGCACGCUCAUGGGAAUGUCACAUAAACUCAAGGACAUUUUGUGAAACAACUGCCUGUGGCCUUCGAAAGCAGCAAGGCCAUGACUGUCAAGGUAAAAAGUGCCGAUCCUCGAAGCCCUGGGUUAAACUCCAGCUUCAUGGUGGUGGGGGUGUGAGGAACUAUUCCUGAAAGAGAGAUUGACCAGAGACGUGUGACUACUGUACAUGAGGUGGACAGAGCCCAUGGGCAGUGCUGGAAUUACUAAGCAAAGCAUGCAGGAAACCUGAGUGGUGCCUCCCCAUUGGACACCAGCAUUUCACUAGUGAGUUUCAGGCUUGAUGGAUGCGAUGUGUACAGGGACUGUGCUUGUGUGGGAGAAUUAAAGCACUUGGAAGUGGGAGGACGACCAUGGUGGCAGUUUAUGCUUAAAUGAUCCAGGAAAAAAAAAUCCUUUGUAAAACUGUGAUUUUAAUUGGGGAUAUUUUUAAUUCCUGGUUACUGAAGACUGCUUUUAGUUAAGUGACAACAUAUAAACCUGCCAUCCCUCAAUACAUACAGAGGCCUCAUAUCUUCCCCAAUCUGUAGCAUGUUGCCAUGUACUCAUUCUUUCUGAGGUAGUAAACAGGCUCACUAACCGGGGGGCGGGGGGGGGGGCGGGAGGAGAGGACCUGUCCGUUUCUGUCUUCCCUUUUGCUAAGCUCUGACAGCCUGAGUCAGGUGGGGGGUCGCUCUCCUUGGGUGGGUGCUGGGUGCUAGGCACUGCUUGAUUUUUAUUACCAUGCUGUGUGGAUGUGUUGUCUACAUGUCUGUUAUCACAUGUGUGCAGAUGGAGACCACAAGAGGACGCUGAGUCCUCUGGGAGUGGAGUUACAGCUGGUUGACAACCAACAUGUGAGUGCUGGGAAUCAAACUUGGAGCCUCUGGAAAAAGCAGCCAGUUUCUGAACCAUGACCCAGCUCUCCAGCCCCAUGAUGAACAUUGCUCAAGUCUGCUAAAAUCACUGGGCCUGGUAACACACAUGUCAGUCCUGCCUCAGCCUUCUGAAUAUGGCUACAGGAGGAGUCUAGACUGAAGGGGAAAACGCAUACUCACAUGCCCACGUGCACACACAAUGAAUGAAGCACAAGAAACCAUCUCUCAGGGAGAAGCAGAGGUGGAGAGAAGCAAGGAUAGAGCUCACUUGUAAUCCCAGCACUGAGGCUGCAGCAGGAGGAUUCCAAGUUUGAAGCCAGCUUUGGCUGUGCAGUGAGAGGGAACUAUGUCUACUUGGCCUAAGACCUGAAGAGAUCUCAGGGCAGAAGCCAUUUCCUGCCACCCCAAAUGAUGGUGACUCCAGCUUCCCAUCAGAUCUGCUGCUGAUCUGCCUCUGUUUCAAAAGCAAGCCAAAGGGGUCCCUGAAAGAUAAAGGGUAAAGAGAAACAGACAGGCUGGCCAGGAAGCAACACAGUGCCUUCAGUGGUCACCAGGCUCCAAGCCCGUGAAAUGCUGCAGAGCAAGGGAGAUCCUGCAGAGGCUGCCAACUGUGAAACCAGAGGACAGACGGCUCUUGCAAAGUGGACACGUAGAUUCUAGGACAUCACAGACACAGAUCUCUGCAGAAUCACUGUAGCCAUGAAGGGACAGCUGCAAAUAAAAGUAUGCAGUUGCAAAAACCAGUCCUGUAGGCACAGCCAGUUGCUUUUAAAGGUUCUAGAUGGAGUCAUCGGCAAAAAGCAGGCACCAUGCAUUUUGUUUCAACUGACACUGAAAUGCUCAUAGUAUUUUUGUGAACAAGAAAGAGGAAAUGAAGGCUGGGUGAUCAUCUUACUUGGGGCUAAGGGUGGUGGGUAUAAGCCAAGGUACCUCCAAGUCAGCCUGGGCUCAGGACCAGGGACCACAGGCAUCCUGGGUCUUUUUACUGACAUGUUUUCCUUCUGGUAAUUGUCAUCUUAUUUUAAUUAUUUACUUACUGAGUAUCACAUUAGUCUAGCCUCUGACUGCUGGAAUUUAAAGCAUGCAUGUUUAGUUAACAAAAACUAUUUAAGAAAAACUAAAAAAUUCAAUUAUAGGUAAGAAAAAUAACGUUCCUCAUAUAGUAUUCCCCACACUGGGCUAUAUUUGGAGACUUGGGCCCACUCUUAGGGGUAUUUCCAGUGAGAGACUUUCAAGCUUCUGACCAUGGUACUUACUCUGUAAGUCCAAAGAACAAAACCAUGCCACCUGUGUGGAUGUUCAAGAAGCCAGGUUUCUGUUUAACUCAAAGAUACCUUUGCAUGCCUCUGGAGGUGAUGUUUCCCUUUCUCUAAAAUUGUUUAACCAGAGACAAGGUGUAUAUUCUGUUGGAGUUGGGACAGAGAAGUGGGGUAAAAAGUUGGACUAAACUUUCUUUCAAAUGUUAUCCUUCUGAGAUGCAAGGGAGAUCAGGUGAGAGGGACCCUGCCUAGCAUGUACAAGGGCCUUGGUUACAUACCUAGCACGUAAAACAGAACAAACAAACUAAGCAUUUUCAGACCAUGUUGUGCUGAUAAAAGCAUAGGACAAGUUAGCUGCUGGCAGGGCCAGGAAGGCAGGCAGUCGGUCUCCUAGGAGGCUCUCAAGAUUCGUUUACUUAACAAAGCUUGGUGAAUGAUGAUGCCCUUCCUGCAUUAUGAAACACAGAGGCAUGCAGUGGAGCAGAGUAAAAGGAAGUGUAGCAAAGACAGACCAGGACUUCCUCACCGGCUUCCUAAUCACCUCUCUCCCUCUGUAGCCCUGGAUCAAUCAGUUUGGAAACCUGGUUGGGCUCAGAGUUCUCAACCUGUGGGUCAUGACCCCUCUGAAGGGGUGUCAAUUGGCCCUUUCAUAGGAGCCUCACACCAGAUAUUCUGCAUAUCAGAUAUGUGCAUUAUAAUCCAUAAUAGCAAAAUUACAGUUAUGAAGUGGCAACAAAAUAAUUUUAUGGUUAGCAAUCCCCACACUUAGGAACCAUGUCAACUGGUCACAGAACUAGGAAGGUUGAGAGCCACUGGGUCAGAGGGGAACUGCUCUCCCGCUGAGGCUGCGGGCUGCUGCUCCCGGCUGCAUGCCUCAUCUUAGUUGCAUUUUCCUCCCCAGCUGGCUCUCAAAAUACUUCUUUAGUCUAAAACCACUAUGGGUGUCUCCUACUGUCACUGAGAGCUUUGUGUGGUCCCUGGGCAAUCAAAUGGGAGAAACAUUUCCCUGCCACUGCAGAAUUGUAUUCUGGAAAGAGAAAGAGAAGGAAAGAGAGAAGUACUUCUGGUUGGUGUGUAAGUGGAUGUGGUUAAGGAGAGACACACCCGCAGAUUCUCCGAGCAGCCUCUCUUCGUCUGGAACCCUGUGUUUAGAAUUUGUAAUGUGGGGGUUGGGGAUUUAGCUCAGUGGUAGAGCGCUUGCCUAGCAAAUGCAAGGCCCUGGGUUCGGUCCCCAGCUCUGAAAAAAAGAAAAAGAAAAAGGAAAAAAAAAAAAAAAAAAGAAUUUGUAAUGUGGAUGCAAGUCAUGCUUGACCCUUCCUCCACACCACUGAAAGCACCGAGUGGAACAGAAAGCCGCAGAGGGGCUCACAUGUAAUUCUGCAAUUGCUUCACACCACUUCCACUACACUACACAGUUUUCUUUCUGUGUGAGGGCCGGACCCAGGGUCUCACAUAUGUACGGCAAAUGCUAUAUAUAUAUGUGAACUAUUUCCAGCUCAUCCAACAUUUUUUAAUAAUCCCACGGUAUGUGGUCGCUGAAACCUACAAUUUAGCAAUAUAGGUAAUAAGAAUUACUGUAUAUUUCUCCUUUUUUACAUUUAUUUAUUUUGUGUGUGUUUGAACACAUAUGAAAGUUACAGAACAAUUUGGAACCAGUUCUUUCCACCACGUGGGUUCUCCAGGUACUGAACCCUGGUUAUCAAGUUCGGCAGCAAUCACCUUAUCCUCCACUGAACCAUAUCUCACACCCUUACCAAAUAUUCUUGAAAGAAAAAGCAUGCACGUCUCUCAGCUGUAGAAUCUGGAUCUUAUUAUUAAUUCAUUUCCGCUAACACUCCCUAAGUCUCCAGGCUGAAGGCUGGCAGUCAUCUUUGAUACAAGCAAAAUGACCAGCACAUCUCGGCCCCAAGAAGUCCUGAGGGGCUGAAUAAGGUGGCAAGGAGGAAGGAGUAUCAGGUAACUGAGGGACUCGACAGAACCCAAAGCUGACAGAAAAGCACCUAAUUCCCAGACUCCUCAUAGCAUCUGCCUCCCUCAUAUCCCUCUAGUACAGCCUUCGCCCCCUGCUGUCCUCUCCAAACCUCCCUCCACUCUGCGGGCUGCUUCUACCAGGUCACCAGACCUCGCUCAUGGCUGCCCCCCUGCCAAUUCACUCCAUCACUAAAAUACUGACAUUCUUCAACAAGUGUCCCUUCUCACCCAAGAUCUCUUUCCUUAGGGGACUGUGUCUGUUCACAUGGCUUCAGACAGCUUCCACGGGUUCAUUCCCAGGUCUGUGUUCAGCCCAGCCCUCAGUGGCCCUUCCCUGGGUCGGCCAGACACUCCCAACCCAGAGCACUCCCUCCUGACCGGUUUGUUCUUCCCUCCCAGCCUCCAUGGCCCUCCCUUUGGAUCCCAGGAGCUUAUCUCUGCUGCCCUUCCCUUGCUUACGGCUCUUCUGUCCUUUCUAGCUGAUGCUUGGACCUUUAGGCCAGUUUUCAUUUUCCUCCCUAGCAAAAUUUAUUGACAGCCAUUUUGUAACAGGUAUAUCAUGUCUUUGGGAUCCUUUCUGGACUGAGAUGAAGUCAGGACUUUGCUAGCAUCCAGCACCCAUUACAGUGAGAGCAGGCCUAAGGUAUGGAUGGGGUAAGGACCUGCUCUUCUGAGUAAGCUGUGCUGGUCUUCACUGAACUGCUGAUACCAGCUCUGGUUCCUGGUACAGUUCUGGGAGAGGAGGAAGAAUAGUCUUUGGAAUGUGUGGUUGUAAUGUCAGCAGGACCCUGAGCAUUACCCUCCUGGUGGACAGUUGGGGCCUCGUCAUUCUUGGUACCAGUUUCUCUCCUUUCUGUUCGCUAAUCCAUGGCAUGGUCCUUGCUUAAAUGACCUCUCAGCUCAGGCAGAACUCCCACCCUCAGCCUCCAGGGCAGCUUUCAACCUCUGGCCCACUCUAUCCAGUCAGGUCACUUUGGGAAGACUAAACUCGGAGCCCUACCCAGCCUCUCCCCUGACUACACCUCCCCCUUAGUUUGCGGAAGCUCCACUGAUAAGCUGAGAGGAACCAAGCACCCAGCCUCCUCCCUCCUUGUCUGCCAUUCUCUCUCCUGAGCCUGAAGCCAGCACUGUCCCUUUGGCCAUUUAGAAUCCCUAAAGGUUGUUUCUCACUUACUCUCCAGAAGCAGAUGACCUUGUUGGGUGCCAGUGCGCACUCCUGUGGCACCCUUGGCAAAGCUGGCCUCACCAUAGAGUAGGGAGCUUAGGUGGCUCUAUGCUGGAGGGGUGGGUGGGCUUUCUCUGGCCGACAUUAACAGGAAGGACCCUGAGCCCUGGUUAUCAGGCUGUCCUAGGAUGGACUGGCUCAAAGUCCACACUUGGACCCUAGGCUACUGGGCCGUUAUUUUUUUUUUUUUAAAUCCUUCCCAGCUAUGGCUUCCUUAGCCCUCCACUAUGGUAUUUCCCUAGUAGGAAUUUCGCUCUGCACAAACAGUCCUUCUGGUGGCUAUUUUGGUCAGUCUGGCUGGGCCAGAAGCCAGUAAAGCAGUUCCUAAGGCCAGGUUUUCCCAGUUGCCUAGCCUGGAAGAAUUCAGAGCUGGUGAGGGAAAAGCAAGCCACGGCUGGUUUUAAAGAACAAAACUGGACCUCCAGGGAAACUGGUGAAUGAAUCAGCCUGGAUGGAGGGUGGAGGGAGCAAGCUGGGCUGGGCUGUCCGGAAAACUGAACACCCAGCAAUCUCACACAGGAAGAUGACGUUCACGCCUUUCAUUGCAGAACUCUGAGCAGAGGCUACUAAUGCCACAGGCCAAAAGGAGAGAACAGAUCUCUCCAUCCCAACCCUGACCCCACCACUCAGCCAUGACCCUGGGAUGUACAUAGGACUUUAUCAAGAAGUUACCCUUCCAGGGGUUGGGGAUUUAGCUAAGUGGUAGAGCGCUUGCCUAGCAAAUGCAAGGCCCUGGGUUCGGUCCCCAGCUCCGAAAAAAAGAAAAAAAGAAAAAAAAAAAAAGAAAAGAAGUUACCCUUCCUUUCUGAGCGGUGCUUCCUAACCUCUCAAACUCCUCAGUCACCAAGUAGUUUGACUCCUUACUCCUGUGGUUCAACUUACCUUUUUUAUUUUUUACAUCUUAAACACAUUUUAUUUCUGUGUACAUGGGUGCACAUUUGUGUAUGGCUACACAUAUGCCAUGGCCACCAGGUGGAGGUCAGAGAACACCUUUUGGAAGGUGUUUCCCUCCUUCCCUCAUGUGGGUGCUGGGACUGAACCCAUGUUGUCAGACAGCCUGACAUGACAGGCUAACCCCUGGAAGCACUAAGCUAACCGGCAGGCUUCCAACCUAACUUUUCAACAUCAGAGCACACGAAAGCAUACUCAUAAUGGUGUCUGCUGCUUUUAGUACAGUAUUCAGUAAGUUACGUGAUAUACAUUUCGUUAUAAAAUACUUUGUGGUAAAUGACUUUGUCCGACUCUCAGCAAACCUACGCAGUCUUUGGUUUUUGCGAUAAUGUCUCAAAAAGUUCAAGCUGGCCUCCAAUUCACUGUGAACCCCAGGAUAACCCUGAAUUCCUGCUCCUCCACCUCCACGUCCGUAGUGCUGUAAAUACAGACGGACAUCGCUACACUGGUUUUUAAACCAAUGUAACGUACUGGAAGGUUAGAUAUAGUAAAAUGCAUGUUUAACUUCCAGUCUUUUCAGUUUACUUUAAAUCUAUCCAAGGAAGCCAGGUAUGGUGCUGAACACCUUUAAUUCCAGCACUCAGAAGGUAAAGGCAGGCAGAUUUCUGUGAGUUCGAGGUUAGUCUGGCCUACAAAGAGAGUCCAGGACAGCUAGGGCUAUACAAUAAAACCCUUCUUGAAAAAACAACAAACAAAAAAACUAUGCAAGAAAUAGCUUCAUCCUAAGGCCAGGAGGCUCUGCACUAGGUGUUUCUAGUUACUCCCCACAGUCAUUCCUCAACUUGCUCCAGUGAGGCUGGACUAACUCAUUCAUCCAACCAAACUUGCUAAUGCUACCAGACCUCGUAUUACUGAAUUUAACUGCUAACUCCUAGACCUGAGCCCUCAUCUAUUUGUGAUCGGACAGCUGACUGUUCUUGGUCCUAGAAAUAGUUAUUUUAUGGUUCCCACGACAGCCUCCUACCCUGCAGGUUACUUCUAAAUCUCUGAUGAUUUUUCCUCUCUUUUCAAAUUCUAGGCAAUUACAUUCUAAGCCCCAGACUCCACUUCAGGACCUAUAUUUCUGUCUUAUAUGUUUUCUGGUGAUUUCUCCAACUCUCAUGGCUUUCCUUUUUUUUUUUUUUUUUUUUUUUUUUUGGAGCUGGGGACCGAACCCAGGGCCUUGCGCUUCCUAGGCAAGCGCUCUACCACUGAGCUAAAUCCCCAACCCCUCUCAUGGCUUUCAAUACAAUCGCUGCACAGUCUCUAUAAUGAUGACUCGAGUUUCCGUCUCCAGCCUUUGCCUUCUGCCUGCUGCUGACGUUCUCACUUGAACAUACUAAUGGGCAUCUUGAAUAUAUGCAGCCCUGAAUCGUGUUUCUUAUAGCUCCUAAUUCCAUGCUUCUUCAAAUAUUCCCCACUGCAGCAAAUGCUAACCCCAUCCUUCCGGCUGCCCAACCCUAAGACCUUGGACUUAUCUUUGAUUUUGUUUUUUUCCACAUGUGGGAACAAACACUUCUAGCUCUAACUUCAAACCACAUUCCAAACAUGAAGCUUCCAUCUCAACACCUAAAUCACCUAAAUCCACAUCUGUACCUGGGCAGCUGAGAAGCCACUGAUCUGCCAGUCUGUUCUCAACACAUCAAACAUACAUGAAGCCACACCACUACUCUGUUCAGAGGCCAUCAAGAGCAUCCCAUCAGACAGCAGAGCUCCAACCACCACGCACAGGUCUAUGUGACCUGACUUCCUGUCCUCUCCAAAGUUCCUGGGCCCUUGUGCCAGGUUCUUCUGCUUGCCGCCACAUCUGCUUGGGUUCAGCCUUCUCCCUCACUCUAGACAGAACUGGUUCAACAAUGCCCAUCACUUUCAGGGUUCCAUGAAGUCCCCAUCUUAAGGCAUCCCUGAACGCCCUGUGGAAACUGCCUCUCCCACACAUUUUCCCUCCUUUCCUCCCCCCUCCCUCCCUCUCUAUUUUUAUCCCUAGCACUUACCACUUCCCAGCAAGUACUCAUUAGUUACUUAAUUACUGUCUUAUUAAGAAUGCAAAUUUCCUAAAGGCAAGGGUUUCUCUUUUCCUCACUGAUGUACCUCUAGAACUUAGCACACAGUUGGAGCUUUAUAUAUUUGCUUAAUAAAUUCGUGAAUAAAUGAAUCCUGAAGGAAUGCAGAGGAAGUGAUGUUAAAUGGAGUUUAGAAACCAAGGAGGGCUGGGGUGUGGCUCAGUGCUAAAGUGCACCAAGCCCCAGUCCCAUCCCCAGUACUCAAUACAGUUAAGUGUGGCCGUGCCUAUAUGAGCUGUAUGUAGCAGGUCAAACACUUCAGUGCAAGUACGUCAACCCCACAGAUAGCACUACAGCUCCAGGCUACACUUCUACCAUUUCCAGUUAGCGCACGCAUGGGGGGACAUCGGUCAGACCAUGAGAACGUCUAAAUGUGAACACUCUUCUGUCUCAUUCUGAAUUAUUUUCUUCCAAGCAUGGCUGCUGUCAUUCCUAGUUUGCUUGUGGCCUGGGUAACAAGGCAUCAAUUUGGGGGCAAUGGGAUGAUGGGAAGCAGCCCCAGGAAAUCAUGAAAAGCCUUUCCAAUUAAGAACAACCAUCUGUAAUGGGAUUCAAUACCCUCUUCUGGUGCAUCUGAAGACAGCUACAGUCUUCAGUGGACUAUACAUUCAUAGAAUAAACGAAUAAAUCUUAGGAAAAACAAAAAGACUACUGGGACUCAGAAUUCUGUUGUAGAGAACAGGAGAAAUAAAAGCAGGAGUCAUCCCCAAGAAUUUCCUUAAACACAGACGAGCUGCCUUUUUUUGCUUCAGCAGUGUCUCCAUGAGUCACUCAGCUCCUCCAGGCCAGGAUCAGCUCUGAAAUGAGUAGCGGCUUCCCUUCCCUGGAGAGGGGAAGGCUCACUUGUACUCACUCUUCUAAAACCUGGGUGUCUGGUUUUUGGUUUGUUGUUUUUGUCCCUCCUACUUCUAAUUAAACAUAAACCAGAGGCAGAACUAUUUCACUUCUAAUCGGGUGACCUACUAGCUAUUUCCUAAUCCCUAUUCCUAGUCUCAAGAGGAGCCACUCUGUGAUUUUACCAAACCCACAAGGAGGUGACAAUCCCAACGAGCAAGUUCUAGAAAGACAUUUAGAAACAUGCAGUGAUUGCUAAUUCUUCCCAAUUUCACUCCGUGGCUGACAUGAAUGGCACCUGAAGGGCCUAAAUCACCACCCAUAGGCAAACUGGCGUCUCAAAGGACUUAGCCUUGGCCACCCAAGCUGAGCCUCUGCACUGUAACGUAGCAGCCGCUGGCCCGGCCCAGCAAGCCAUCUUGAUGCUGAAACAGGGAGCUAAGAGAUGAGAUGCACAUCAUCUGACUCCAACGCUGGGCUUCCAAGCAAGCUUGUGUAGUGAUAUGACAGUGAUGUCUCAGUGCUGCCAAGAGCUCUCUCUGGGGUACACAGAAAAGCAGCAAGAUGGAAUACUUUGCUCAUCUGCAACCCCUGCACCAAGCAAUGGCUCAUCUGAGAGCAUGCCAGCCUGGAGUGCACCCCGAGGAGAGGCACAGUGAUGCUUGUGACAGUGACGGAGUGCCUUCCAGAAACAUACUGAGAGGUCUGGCUGCCCCGAGAUGCUGGUGCCGAUUCUGAGCUUGCUCUGGUAUUUUGUUUUUUACCUCCAGGGUCCCAUGAAGCAGUAGAAAAAGUUUACUCCUUCACCAUUUGUCAACUGGAACAAAUCUACCACAACAUCAGAGAGCUUCUCCUCAAGAAUGACCCCCAAGCCCCAUUCUUACUUAGCCUGGUGUGCUCCAUACUUUCAGCCACUUUUCCCUUCCCACCAGGCUCCAAAAACCCAUGACCCUUCUGCACGGGGACCUUAGGAAAGCUGCUCACGGAAACAUCUGCUGGUUAUGAAGUCAGCUCCCUGAGAGGCACAACUGCAACUACAUUUCAGAAACAAAGGCCUCAGCACUGGCUGUGGGAGGAACAGAGGAAGAAGUACAGGAGGGAGGUGGGCCACGCAGGGACAGCAGUACACAGAAGCACCUGUGUGAUGCAGUUCUCAGCACACCACUUAUUUGGCCCACCCUGUGGCUAAAGAAUUCCUGGUGUUUGUUUCUUCAUUUGAGACAAGGUCUUGCUAUGCCCAGGUUAGCCUGCAACUCACUAAGUAACCUAGGCUGGACUUGAACUCUCAAUCUUCCUGCCUUAAGCUCGAAUACAUUAGGAUUGGGUGCAUCAACCAUCCCCAGCCUGGGUUCCUGGUUUAGAAUAUCCUAAGAAGUUCACAAAUCCUUUAAAUCAUCCAAAGACAGAGUCCAGACAUGCCACUCAGUAAACGUAUAAGGAAGUAUAUGACCUAACAGAUCACUCCAAGUUCAUAGCCCAACAAGGCUUAAAAUUAGGCCACAUGAUGCAGUCAAUCAGACGUGCUCACAACACUCCAUACAACUUUUACAGCCAGGUCUCUGCCUCUUCUACUCUGUGGCCAUCAUCCGCUUGAUCUAAAAUAAUGGCUGAUGUUUUCUGUGUCUGCAAGCCAAGGCUGCAGUUUGAGUGUAGACAGAACACAGAAGCGAUGGGACUGAAGGAAACGUAGGAAAAAACAUGCCAUUUCUGUAGAAAUGGGAGAGCUCAGGGUCUAGAAAACUGCUACGGUUUACUAGGUGGCUGUAAGAAACUUUAAGCACUGUUCUAAGGGCCACAGUUGGGCAACACUUGCUUAAAGAAAGCUCGGGGAUUGCCACAUAUCCAUUGACGGUCAGACUGUCACUGCUUGGUACAAAAGACUAUAACUUCUCCAAAACACUUAACCACCAGAAGAACUAAGAUAUUCAAAACCAAAAUACUAGCUAACUUGCUUACUAACUUCCCUACCUGCUGGAAAGUCACGGACUUUUUACCCAAACAUCUGCCAUAUAAUCUUUUCACUGCUUCUCUUCGCUUUGACAGGCCCAAAUUUUUUGCUAUUUUUUUAAUACAUGUAUUGGUUUUGCGCUCUCGCGCUCUCUCUCUCUCUCUCUCUCUCCCUCCCUCCUGUGUGUGUGUGUGUGUGUGUGUGUGUGUCUGUGUGUGUGUCUGUGUGUGUGUCUGUGUGCAUCAUAACAGUGUUGAAGUUGUUUCUCUCCUUCCAGGUGGGAUACAGGGAUUGAACUCAGGUAAUCAGACUUGGCAGCAAGUGUCUACCCACUGGGCCUUCUCAGUGAUCCUGGCCCAGAGUUUAGAUCCAAUCUAAGUAGAGGCUGUCUCUGUGAUAUCAGCUGAGAUGUCAAACUCUUCCCCUCAGAGCAGCUGGUGCCCGGGAAAGACCCAGUUAUGGACAAAUCCUAGUUAGUUUUCUUUGGCAAAGAGUCUGUGUCUUUAGCAGCCUCGCUUGGGAGCUCCUAACAGUGUCAGAGAAGCUUAUUCUUCCUUAUGGCUGAUGGGUUUAACCAAAGAAGAAAUCUCUGUACAACCAAGCAGAAGGACUAGAAGUAGACAACUCGUCGAUCACCUCAGGCAAAGAUAAUUCAUGCUGACUGGUACUGAUGUCUGUCUGGUCACUAGAGACCAAGCAGAUGCUAAAGCACAGGGAUCUCAAGUUCAAGGCCUAACAGAUCACAGGACGAAUACUCGACAACCAGGGCUUCAUAGCAAGACCGUGUUUCAACUCCCUGCCACCUAAAUAAGAAGUCACUGCAACACUGACAUAAGCCCCACUGAAAGGUUCUGAGAUCAGCUCCGUUCACUGUCCUUAAAAGAAAACAAGACACUGCACUUACAUUCAUCACCACAGACAAUGGACUUCUUUGUGUCAAUAAUGGAAAAUGCUACUGUGGUCUGGGCUCCCUCAUUCCCUCUGCCAGUUCACCGUGGACUGGCUCACCCUAACCCUUCUAGCUCUAAAAAUCCCAUCCAAGACAGCUCUAUGCUGACGAGACAACUCAGCCAGAGAGAUGCUUGUCUAACAUUUGUGACAAUCAAGAUUCAACCUUCAUCACCACAGAGGGUGGGGGUCAACUCAGGGCUCUGUCCUCUAUAAUGCCCAGGACCUUCUAGGGCACAGCAUGAAACAGCUGUAGACCGUUCCUGCCAGCACACACUGAAACGUUAAUCGCCUUUCUGCAAUGAAAUCUGUAUAAAGGAGACCUCGGGCCAAUUUGUGGCUCACAGCUAUGGUCUGCUUCUCUCCUCUUUGACAGGCCUCCACAGACCCAAACCUUUUUGAUAGGUAAUGAAUGAUCCAGUAACCUCCUAAAAAGGAGGAAAGUUCAGGAGAAAAACCAAACGGAGUUCCCCUGGAUCAAGUUAAUUAUGAAACGAUUGAUCAUGACAGACUGUUAGAACCAAAACCAAGGAAUGUAGUGAGGACAGGUUUCUCAAAUGCCCAGGGCAGAAGACACUUCCUUUUCUACUAAAAUUAGAAAGGCACUGGGAAAGAAACCUAAAAAGGAAGGGAAGAAGCUGAGCGCCAUUAAGCCAGCAACGCGGAUGGAGGAAGAAAGCGAACAUCUAUUUUAUUUCUUAGGUCAUCUCUUUACGAGCGAUAGCGCCUACGCUUUCUUGGAAUUCCAGUGCAUUUUUGCCCCACCCCCCCCCCCCAAGGGGCAUCGGGCCAUAGUCUGGGAGCUCUGUCAACAAGUUCUCAAACUUCUAAAAUUCCAAGAGCUUGCAGACACCUAGCCGCAGGCUCAAGGGUCCAGGUAUAAACAUUAACAGUCGGUUUUUCACUUAGCAGUCAACUGCCUAGGGAGUUCCCUCUCGUCCUGACACCGUCUGGGACUGCGGUGGCCCGGCCAGCAGGCUGCAGCUCAGACCAGCAGGGCCCAUUUGACUGGCACCACCUAGAUUUCAAGCCUUGGCUGCCCACAGGACGAGCCCGAGGGGGCGUCUGCCGCCUGCAUGGAGCAAACUCGGGCGCAGGCUGAAGGCCCGGCGGGACCCGGGCAAAGGGGCGAAGGAGGGGUACCAGGCUCGCCCCGCUGCCCGCGCCUUCUGCCAGCCCCGGAAGCGCCGCCCUCCCGCCCGGGGCUCCGAGGGGCGGGGAGUCUAACGCCCCCUUCCGGGUGCCUCCGCCCGGCCGGCCAGCCGCGCUCCUCCUCCGGGCGGGAAUCCUUCCUCCCCCGCCCCUCCCGUAGCCGGGCCCCGGAGCCAGUCCCAGUCCCAGGGGGGCACCCCCGGUUCCGGCCUCCCCUCCCCGAGGCCUCUGCCCGUCUUCCCGACCCUUGAGGGCCGGGAAGACGCCGCCGGCAGACGCCAGGACCCACCGCUCAUUACGACAUCUUCCUCCCUGGCCUCCGCCGCCUCCGCCGCCACCGAGAGCCUGACACCGCCCGCCUAGCACCCGCCAAUCCCGGAGCCCGCCACCGCCCGAGCGACGGCAGCUCUUACCAAUAAGCGCUCGGUACAUUGGGGACCGACAGCAUUUUUAACCAAUCACUGGGAAGCAUCUAGAGUGACGUUGGUCUGGCCAAUAGAGCUACGAAGUGUCACUGAUAGACGGUAGUAGUCACCAACCGGAAAUUAACUGAGGAAUGAACGACGUAUCCUUUAGCCAACUGGCGGGAGGCAAAGUCCCGCCUGUUAGGAGGUUGAUGGACAGCAACAGGAAGCUGGAUGAGGAGGGGCUUAGCUGAGAAGUGUUUCUGUAUUGGUCGGAAUUGACCUUCCACCCACCUCUAACCCAGAAGAUGAGUGAUAGAUCUGCCCUAAAGCCAAUCAGAAGUGCUACUGUGAAAUGCCCCAUAAAGAGCUUAUACAUCUCUUAAUACAGUCUGGCAUGGAGAGGCUCUAGUGUAGCCAUCGGGUACCCGGUGCCCAGCGCCCGGUGAGAGCAUCGCCUUCACCUCAACCCCUCGCCCACCGUCACCUGUGGAGAGUCGAUGACCUGGCGGGAGUUGGGUUACCUGGGACUUCCUAAAGGGGACUGUCAUGUCAACUCAAGCCCCUGUUAAUCUUCACUAAUGUUUCACAGAGCUUCCCUGAUCCACUCGGCUUCAGAAGGGCAUGUCUGAGCCUAUAUCAAAAGCAGAUUCCUAGGGUCGUCCCUAAUCACAUUUGCCACUUCUCGGGGGUGCCUAGAAACUGUAUUUUAACCUGCGUCUCAGGUGGGCGGAAUUGCACGCUGGAGUCCUGCUCGGUCUCUGCCUCAUUUCCUCCCGAAUGAGGUGCUGUGCUUGACAAGCACCCCAGGUAGGUUUAUCUUUCUCUUCCAGGCCCUCUGCGAACGACUAACUUGGGCAGGCUUCGCGUGGCAUCGAGAGGGAAUUCACACUGCCUUCAGACCUGCGAGGGCAGGAAACCCCACACCCCACCUGCAGUGAACCCUUAGACGCCUGUUGAAGCCAGAGCACUUACACCUCCGCCUCAGUAGUACCCUUCCUGGUUUUUGUUUUGUUUUGUUUUGUUUUGUUAUUUUAACCCACAGUGAGAAAAAAUGUUUUACAUCCGGUAAACUUUGUUCUAAGAGCAUAACAAAGCUUCCCAAGUCAGCAUUUGAGAGACAUUGAUCACAGGUAGAUAAGACACACAUCCCUGCUGGGGUCUGAGUUGGACCUUUUGUGGUGCUGAGGAUCCAAUGCCCAGCACCAAGCAUGAACUAAUCAUUUGAGCUCCUCCGCUCCCAUUUGGUUUUCUCUUAGCCUCUUGUAUCUUCCUUUUCCUUCUUUCCUUCCUGUCACUUCGAAGGAAAGGUUGUUGAGCUAAAGUGAUAGCAAAAUAAAAGAGCCAAGCUGGGUGUCAGUAGCCCAGGCCUUUAAUCGCACCAGGGAGGCAGAGGCAAGCAGAUCUCUGAGUUUGAGGCCAGGCUGGUUUACAGAGUGAGUUCCAGGAUAGCUUGGACUACAUGGAGAGACCCUGUCUAAAGUAAAAACCACACACACACACACACACACACACACACACACACACCAACAAAGCCAAAAUCCACCCCACACACUAAACAAAAAACCACAAACACAAAAACAAACAAGCAGUAAAGAGCCAAGUGGUUAGAAUGUAGUAAUUCGGAAUCACCAAUCUACCUCUCUCUGGUUUGUUUUCGAAACACCAGCCAUCAGAUGCUACCCGUGUUGUAGCUAAAAUCCUUCCCUUGGGGCUGGGAAGAUGUCACUCGCUGCUCAAGCACGAGCAAGAGGCCUGAACUCAGAACCCAGGCGAGAAGCUGGACUUCAGCAUCUGAAACCCCAUCCCUCCCUUGUGAGGUUGUGACAGAGACUGGCUGCAGUUGGCCGGCCGCCAACCUUGCUCCAGGCUUUGGGAAACACAGCAACAGAGCAGGACAGUGUAUGUCCUGCUCUGGCCUCGGCGUGCACAGGAAUGCCCAUACGCCAUUCCUUCCUUGGGCCUCUGUCCUGUAUAAAAUCAAAGGUUUCUGCUUGAGCCGGGUCCUUCCCCCUUACACAUACCCUCCACACUCUUGUCUUUCAUGUCUUUCCCUACUUUCUUUGAUUCCUUAAUCACAGUCUCUAAACACAUAGGUCUUUUCCUAAGGAGUUCCCUUUCUUCUUAGGUAGGCCUUUCCUUUGUAGUGGUGAACGCCUUAAAGGCCCUGAUCCAAAUCUGGUCUCUUCACUCCCGCCCAGCCUGUGCUGCCCUGGACUGUCACUGACUGGCCUAUAUGAAAGGCUCCCUUCUCCCACUCUUCUACUCCUGUUUGUUUCAGUGCUAGGGAUCAAGCCCAGGGCCUCCCACGUCCGACGGAGGCAGUCUCUACCACUGAGCUCCAUUCUCCUCAUGACUGCCCUAAGGGACUGAGCAACAGUGGAAGAACCUGCGCUUCUACAGGCGAUGAUCGGGAAAUGGAGUCCGUUCAUGAAUCACUUUGCGAACACUUACAUCUGCAUAAGACUUGUUCAGCCCAGACAUUCUGUUCCCAGGCGCGUUUCCAGUUUGGCUGGCUUUGCCUUGUAGCCAAGGACUCCGCCCGGAUUCAGUGACUCAGAUCUCCAUUUCCAAGUUGUUCUCUCCCGAGAGAAGGAAGAGAAGACUAGGCAGCAGGUCCCAGUAUGCCUGAUUUCUCCCCAGCCAUGUGUUUUCUAUACUGGGGGACCGAACACAGAGCCUUGUGCAUGCAAAGCAAGUCCUCCUAACCACUGAGCCACAUCUCCAGACUCUGGACAAUAUGUCAGACUCCGAAGAAAGCUUUCACCUGUUCUGAAGUUGGGCUCCUGUCUCACCCCAGGAAGUCAGUCCCUAGGGUGGGACCAAGCACCUGUAUGGAGAAGACCCUCAGAAACUCCAUGUAUGUAAGCAAGGCACAAAAACAUUUCUUCACCAAAGGCCCUGAGCCAAUCCGCUCGGGCCCCUUCCUCCCUCCCUCCCUCCCUCCCUCCCUCCCUCCCUCCCUCCCUCCCUCCCUCCCUCAAUAUCUCCUUGUUCCACCCUACCUGUAGUGGCAUUUGAAGAGCAAAGGUGGUUAGGUGGUUCCCGCUGUGUCUGCUCACAUCGCCCAGAGCAGGACGCCAUCUUGUCCCUGAUGGGUCCGGAAGCAGGUUGUGUCAGUGCUGCCUCCAGCCGCUUCGAGCUCCCUCCUAAUCCACGUUUCCACUUGUCCCCAUUUCUAGCGUGCAAAGUUACUUGUUCUCCACCGCUUACAGCCUGUGUUUACCUCGACCUCCACUGCAUGCCCCCCAACUCCCAGCACAGUGCCCAAUAGUAGAUGCACAGCCCUUGGCGGUCCUUUGAGCGCUUCUCACAGCCUUCACUCACUUUUCUCCUCAGGUUCGGCUUGCUCCAUGUCUUCCCCAGCUUCAGCUUCCUGUGGAGCCCUUCUGUGCUCUCCCAACUUCCCAGCCCUCCCUGCUCUCUUCUGCAUGUGGCCACCCGCCCCUGUCUAUGCAGACUCCCCAGGGCUGCUGAGCGCACUGAAGGAGGCUCAUGGAGUCGCAUUCUCUGUCCCCAGAAAGCUGCAGAUAGCUUCAAGGGCUUCCUACAGAAAGAUCCGCAGGGCUCAACAUUGCGCUUGGCCUAUGGUCUAGAAACAUGUCCCAGCAGCCUUUGUCUAAGGGCAGGCAGCCUUGGGCUCCACACUGGGUCACACCCUCUCCUACGGCCCAAGCUCGACAGGAUAAUCCUUCCAUUAGAGCCACAUCAGGCUUCUGAGGAUGCUCCCCAAAACUUCUGCCUCUUCCUUUCCCUCCUCUGGUUUUCUUUCUUCAUCUUCUCUCCACCUAAGGGGGAGGCCCUCCCAGACACCCCUAACGCCCCAAUGCAUAAACACUGACAGUGGCUUGAUGGGAAAACCCUGGGCUUGGGUGAACCAUGGUUCUUUUUUUUUUUUCCCCCUCUCCUCCAUGAUUUCUAUGGUCUCUGCCACUCCAGUCUUCCAGGAAUGCCAAAGGUGGACUCCCUUUUAUAUUCUAGCUCCCCCCACUCUGCAUCCCGGUACACACAUACAGCCACCAACCGCCCUUGUUGCAAACCCAGGGAUACCACUUCUGUCCCUUGCCCUGACUCCCGGGUCGAUGGCUGCUGGCCAACUGCCACAGAACCUCCCAGCAAGGGCAUUCCAGCCAUCCCUCCCAUAGGGUUCUUCCUUCUUGCCUGCUUCUUCCUAUCCUUCCUGGGUGGGAUCUGCACCACUUCCAGAAGGAAGGGCAGGAGGAGGUGCUUCUUGGGCAGGCCUUGGGCCUCUGCACCUUUCAUGUGUUGCCGCCAGAGGGCACCCAAGGCAUUUCGGAAGCCCCUGACCGUGGUUUAACCUGCCCUAAGCAGGAAAUACAGAUAACCAGGUGGCUAUUCAGGGCCUACUAUUGGCCAGCCUGGGCCCUCCUUCAUCCCAGGCUGUGAGAAUACUAGGACCCCCCCCCCCUACAAAGAGAUUCCUUUAAGAAGAACCAUUGACCUCCUCAAGAGAGCACGUUUCCAUCCUCCAGUCUCUGGCACCUCAGAAAACACCAUCUACCUCAAGCUCCUCCAAUUCAGCUCCUACUGGCCCUCUUCUAACCAUGAGCACAUUUCCACAGAGCCAGCAGUCCUCCCAAGAGUCCAGGCCUCCCACAGCAGACCAGAGGAAUCCCUGGACUGAAAAUCGUGCCGCAUUUGCUAAGCAAGCAUGGCCCCUCUCUGUAAAGCCACAAUGAAAAAACCUCCUGAAGGGUCCGAGGGUGGGGUCACAGAGGCUACUGGCAGAGCCCCGUCACCUAGAAGCAGGACCCAGCUGGCAGAGACUCGGGAAGUGGGCGACAGUGGUGAUAACAAUAACAGUGAUCAUAUUAAUAAUACCAUCGGAGCCACAAAACGGCUGUGAAAUAUCCUCUAAUGAUCCCUUGUAUUUAUAGAUCUCCUUCUCUUCAGAGCCAUUGCCCAAUUAACCCUUCCAGCUUCCCUAGAAGAGACAAUUAACCCCAUAUUUUAUGACCAGGGGAAACCGAGGCCCGAGAAGAUGCUGGAGUUGGCUGAGGUCAUAGUGAAUUGGCAAUAGCAUAAUUUGUAGAAUGGCGCUCUUGUCCUUUCCUCUGUACCCAGAACCAUAUCCACACACACGUACAUACUCACCGCCCAUCCCGGCUCUGCCUAGCCGUCACCUCAGUGCAGGAAGACUCAGGACUUGGGCAAAGGCUAGCUGCCUGCAGUGCUGAGAUCAGAGGCCUUAGGGAAAGAAGGUUUAGCCAGCGGGCAGUGGAAGCCCAUCGAAGACAUGGUCAUUCCUGAUGGGCAUGGCUCCCAGGCUUUCAUGGUUCUAGUCAGGACUGUUGAAAAAAGGAAGGUAGGGUCUCAGGACGCACCCCCUACACACACAUCUGUCCACCCCCAACACCAGCAUCUCCCUACAAAAAAGGCAUAGGGCAUGCCUUCUCUGUGUGCGUGUGUGUGUGCACGUGUGUGCACGUGUGUGCGCACGCACGCGUGUGUCAUAAGAAGUGGAGGUUGUCCUCAGUCACUGUCCACCUCAGUUCUUUUUUUAAAUAUUUAUUUAAUGUACACGAACAACACUGUAGCUGUCUUCAGACACACUAGAAGACGGGCAUCAGAUCCCAUUACAGAUGGUUGCUGAGAACCGUGUGGUUGCUGGGAUUUGAACUCAGGACCUCUGGAAGAGCGGUCAGUGCUCUUAACCUCUGAGCCAUCGCUCCAGCCCCUCCAUCUCAGUUCUUGACAGAGUCUCUCACUGAACUGGAACCUGGAGGUUCAGCCAGUCAGGCCAGUAAACCCCUCUGUCACCACCUUCCUAGUACCCAGGUUAUAAAUGUGUGCUACCACCCUCUGUUUUUGACAUGGGUGCUAGAGAUCUGAACUCGGGGCCUCACGCUUAGGCUGCAAGUACUCUGUCCACUGUCAUCUCCCAGCCCCCUGAGGGAUAGAUCUUCAGAGCAGCUAUAACAAGACAGUUAACCUCUUCCGUACCACAGUGCUAGAAGACAACAAGGCAGUUCCUAGCAAGAAGAGAGACAGGUCAGACCUUAGGGAGAAGGAGAAGGCAGGGGAAACAAGAAGACUUCCGAAGGGAGCUGGAGAGAUGGCUGAGAGGUUACGCGCACUGACUGCUCCUCCAGAGCAUCCAGAUUUAAUUUCCAGCAACCCACAGGGUGGCUCACUGUAACUCACACACUCGCACAGGUGCAUAAGCAGGCAAGACACCAAUAUCCAUGAAAUAAAUUAUAAAUAAAUAAAUCAAUCAAAACAACCUUUCAAAGGAUGAGCACAGUCAUACGGCUCACCUGGGAGGGAUCUGAGACCGUGAGGAAGAGUGUGCUGUGCGGGCAGCCCACCUAGCACUCUAGUACUCAGGCAACAACAGAUCAUGAGUUUCAGCCUAGUCUGUGCUACAUAAGGAGACCAAUAUAAAAGAUUGAGAAAAAGGAAAGGACUCGCGUUUACCUGCAUUUGCGAGGGUUUAACCCCCAACUCCAUAAAAAUGAGACCUAAAUAUCUUUUCGGUCUGUACCAAGUUCAGGAAGCAGACCAAUCUGCUGUUUGCCGCUGGCUGAGAACGGUUAGGUGCCCUAAGCUGAGAAUUUGCUGUUAUGAAAAGUACUGGUGACGGAACGAGACAGUGAUGGAAGGGUGGGACUCUGGGCUGGAGAGAAGCUUCUGCUUGUCCUGGCCACUGAGGGUGUUGAGGGUCAUUAUACUGAAAGGACAACAAUGCCAGCCAAAGCCUCCGCUCUGCUUGGAGCCUUUAAAUUGCUGCUCCUGGCCGGGCCCCCGCCCACCAGCUAGCUUACUCCUGCCCCAGGUCCCUUCCCACUCUCCCUCUGGCCUCUGACCUCUGCCAAGCCUGCGAUGGGCCCUCCCCUGCUUCCUAGUUUCACCUCUGAAACUCCAAGGCUCCACAGUGCUGAGACUUUACUAGGGCUCCCAGCUGGGUCCCACCUUUGAUCUGGCUUCAAAAAAUCAAGAGGCAGUAACACGGGGAGCAAUUUUCCCUCGACCUGCUGCGGAGGAAGGCAGGCAGGAGGCAGGUCCUGACCAGCCCGGCCCACUCUAGUGAGAAGCUGGUGGCAGGGGGAGGGGGCCAUGGGAGCAAAGCCACCUUUCCUCCCUGACUUCCUUUUCCUUCAGAGUGUGGACCCCCUUCCAGCAGAAGGAAACUUUAGGCAGCUACUUUGAGUGCUUUCUCCCCACACUGGGCUUUUCUCCUUCGUACCCCGUUGGGCUGGGUUUCUGCUUAACUUCAAUCCUUUCCCUACAUUCCCUGGCCUGUCCCUGGGGAGUGGCCACUGACCACACCGGGUAGGACCUGACAGUGGGCAAGUCCACCCAGCCUUGUAGGCACUUGAGACAUUACUCAGAUCUCUGUCCCCACAGCAGCAGGACUCUCUCAGAAGUCUGGACUCAGGUGGGGAGAAAAGUUCAGCUGGGGAAAGGAAGGGACCAGCUUCAUGGUGCCUCCACAACCCAGUGAUACAGGCUGAAAGCCCUGGCUCAUGGUUUCCUAGCAGCCUCAGACAGAGGCCCCACCCUCUUCUGUUCAAAGGCUCUGGGUCCUCACCUGUUCCAGAGAUGCUCACCUGCCCUUUUAAGUGGUUAGCAGUGUACAUCCCCCAUCCCCGGCUGAGGUCCUGGGCUUCUCAAUGCAGGUGGGGAUGGAGUCUGGGAGAUGGUAAAACUCUCUAAAAGUUCAGUUGCCCCCAGUAAAGACAAGCCCUUGGAGAGCUUCCUUGGAUGUGGACAAAGUAGGGGUCUGUCCUAGGAGAAACCUGGACAGCCAAGGUUAGCUGAAUAAGAAGGGGGAUCUGGGUUUAACCCUCCAUGGGGCAGAGUCCCUUAGAGCAUUUUCAGACUCUGACUGAAUUGUGAGACACCACCAAGCCAGAGAUUGUGUACAUUUUCACAUCUCUGUCUUGCCCUCUGGACCCUUCUCCCUCCUAGAGAGGUACCUUCCCCCAACCCCCGCCCCCCAUCUCCCACACACACUCUGAAAGUAUGUUGCCUAAGCACUGGGACUCCUCUAGGAUGUUCAAGUCCCAUGUCAGCUCACACAUAGUCUGGGUAUGUGGGAGACGGGGCCGUGACAAUUUGAUAAAUCUGAGCCCAGAAGUUCUGUCUAGCCUGCCAGACUACAGGGAAGACCCCUUGAGAAGUCACUUGUCCCUCAUCCACCAUGCCCUCCACAGUUCUCCCUGACCUGAGGGCAGAGAAGAGAGUCCAAGGAAUGGAGGAAGUUGGGAGCCACCUCGUCUCCAGGGGGCGGGAUCCCAAAUAAAGCGAUAGCCAUCGUCCUGGCAGCUCCAACCUGUUCUAUCGGACAGGGUUUCAGGGCUGGAGAGACGGCUCAGCAGUUAGGAGUACUGACUGCUCUUCCAGAGGACCUGAGUUCAAUUCCCAGCAACCACAUGGUGGCUCACAACCAUCUGUAAUGAGAACCGAUGCCCUCUUCUGGUGUCAGCUACAGUGUAGUUAUAAUAAAUAAAUAAAUAAAUAAAUAAAUAAAUAAAUAAAGGAAGAAACGAAGAAAGGAAGAAAGGAAGAAAGGAAGAAAGGAAGAAAGAAAGAAAGACAGGGUUUCUCUAUCUGUGACCUGGCUGUCCUAGAAUUUGCUAUGUAGAGCAGGCUGGCCGUGAACUAAGAGCUCCCCCUGCCUCUGCCUCCCGAGUGCUGGAAUUGAAGGGGAAUGCCAGCACAGCAGGUCCAAAGCACAGUUCUUAACUUCCAAGUCUGAUGGGAAAGCCCAGAUCCUCACCCUGGAUGGGUGGCAAGUACUGGGUUGAUACCAGGGCCCAGGCAUGAGAGAAAUGCAGUUGCACCCCAGUGUCGUGCUGCCGAAAGCAAUGAGGGGAGCAAAAGGAGCUGGGCGUCUCCAGCUGGGAACACUGUGUUCAAAUGUCCCUGGGAAGAGAAUGCAGCCCGGACAGGGGAGGUGAGGAGGGGAGGGAACCUAGAAGGUAGGAGGCUGGUGCCUAGCUCUACCCUUCCUAGAACCAGGUGUGGAAAGGCGAGAGUGGUUUUCAUGCUGAAGAGGUGGUCUGUGGGAAAGAGAUCUCUGUGGUGAAAGGGCUGGAGGAAGAUACGGCCCCAGGGGCUCAUGAACCAUCUGGCUUAUAGAGAUCUCCCUGACAGAAGAGAGGAUGCUGGGAAACCCCGGUCUGAGCCGGAAGUCAUCUCACAGGGCAUCACACCUGCCGUUUCCAGAUCAGCUGACCUACAUCCUGUUGCCUCACUCCCAAUGCAGCUCAAGUCAGCGCCCAUGAGGGCCGAGGCUGUAGCUCCGCGGUGCCAGUGUGUGACAUUCAUUAUUGACACACUACUGUAGGUGCGACGCUACACCAAAGACUCCACGUGCGUGUGUGUGUGUGUGUGUGUGUGUGUGUGUGUGUGUGUGUGUGUGUGUUUUGGUUUCUUUGUUUGUUUUGUUGCGUUUUCCCUCAGUUCCUUUCACCCUUGGUUCAAAGGAGAGGCUGGGCAUGUGGUGAGAUUACGUAGGAAUCACGCGGCAGGAUGAGCCACAGGAGUCAGGGUUCCCAGGCUUCGGGUUUCUGUCCUUCACUGCAAGAAGUUCUCCUAGCAAGGCUCUGGAAAGGGGUUCCCCUGCACCUCUCCUCACCUCCUACAGAAGCCAGUAGGGAUGGCCCUGGGCAUUGGAGAAGCCUGCCAAGAUGUCGUCUCUCCGCAUCCAGGUUGCUUCCCACAGCUCCUGUGCUACCGCUAGUGCCCAGCAACCACCAGCGACUGGGCAAGAGCAAAAGUGAAGCUGACUCAGCCGGUUUCCACCCCCGCCCAGGGAAACGGGGAGCAGCCUCGGCUGGACAACAACCAAUUAGGCACUUUUUAUUGCCCACGCUGUCAUAAUCCUCAGAGCUUGGCUGGGAGGAACAAGAGGAAAUGGGAUAGGAUGGAAUUCCAAGAUACCUUUAAGAUCGUCCCCGCCACUUGACUGCUUCCGGCCUGCGCAGCCCACGUGAGAUCAGCAAGAAGGUCUCUGGAAGAAAGCUGGGGUCUGGAGGUUCAUAGGCCUAUGCAAAUACUGUCUGUAGCAAGAGUCCCCCUGUGUCCAGGGUUCCUCUUGUCGUUUGUAACCCAGGCAGAGGAAUUGUCUCAAUUUCUUUCCAGGAUAGGGCUGGCUAGGCUCAUUUGGUUAAAGAGGCUUCUAAGCCAGGCCGUGUUAAUACAUACCUUUAAUCCCAGCACUUGAGAUGUAGAGGCAGAGGUGGGCAGAUCUCUGUGAGCGUGAGGCUAGCCUGGUCUCCAAAGAGGGUUCCAGAAUGCCAGGGCUACCCAGUGAAACUCUGCCUCAAAACAAACAAACAAAUAAACAAACAAAAAUCAAUAACAGCCAAAACAAAAGAAAAUGUCUUCUCAAGAGAGGACUAGGGGCUGGUGAGAUGACCAACCUGAUAAGAAUAUUUGUUACUCCUGCAGAGGACCUGGGUUUGGUUCCCAGAACCUACAUGGUGACUUACCACCAUCCAGUUCUAGAGGGACCUGACCUCCUCAACUCACCUGUACAGACACCAGGCACACAUAUAUGGUGCACAUACAGGCGUGCAGGCAAAACACACACACACAUAAAAUAAAAUCUGAGGGAAAAAAAUAAAAAGAGAGGGCUCUGCCCCUUUUGCCUGCUCCCCUUCUCUCAGUUGUGUAGGGCAAAGCUAUGUCCACAGUGAGUGGCUCAUCUGGUCCAUGGACAGUGGCCUUAAGAGCCCACAUCCUGGUUGGGAAGGACAGCCAUGACCUGUCAGAGCUCCCAUCUCCUUCCCAGUGAAUGCAGUAGUAUUUCAUCUGAACUUGUGAACCCUGAGAGUUUGAACCUUCUUGUGACCAGGAAGACUCUUGCUCUCUUUGUGUGUAGGGGCGACAUGAAGGGAACCCAGAUUUCUGGACCUUGGCAACCAUGCCUGAAAAACCCCUAGCUUCUGGCAACAUAGGGGGUUCUAGCCAACCUGGAGGCUCUGAGCAGGUCUGUGGUCGAGAACCCUGUGGCUAUGUUGAGUCUGUCAGUUCCAAGGGGAGCUGUGAGUAGCCCAGGCUUCCUCCUGAGCAUGCACUGUGGGUAGACCAAGUGGUUCUGUGCUUCAGAAGACCAAGGGGCAUGGAGGAUGGUUCUUCUAGCGUGAUGUGCCCAUCCAGUUUGUUGUAAGAGUCGGGACACAGGCAGGUCUAUGGAGGCCAUGAUCUGUCCCAGACUGUGGAUUCCAAAGUUAGCUGAAGGAGGGGAAGGGACAAGGAAGUAAAAAUAUACCUGGACUAAGCACACACCCACCUUCCCUAUCACAGGUAGACAAGGUUCACGGUAGUCCACAAGCUGUUUCAAAUACCUUCAUCUCCCCUAGGUAGUGGGGAGGUGGCUAUGGCUAGAGACUAGUGACUGCUGUUCAGGAGAGGUAUUGCCUCUUCAGCCAGUUCAUCCCUGAGGAAGGACAAGGUAGGGCUAAACACAUGACACUUGGCAUGGAG